ACAGUCACACAUUAGAUACCCCUGUAGUCCUAGCCGUAAACGAUACUCGCUAGGUGUCGGCCACGGUGCGACCGUUGUCGGUGCCGUAGGGAAGCCGUGAAGCGAGCCACCUGGGAAGUACGGCCGCAAGGCUGAAACUUAAAGGAAUUGGCGGGGGAGCACAACAACGGGUGGAGCUUGCGGUUUAAUUGGAUUCAACGCCGGAAAUCUUACCGGGACCGACAGCAACAUGAAGGCCAAGCUGAAGACUUUGCCGGAUUAGCUG
rnacentral:rRNA from 1 species